rnacentral:tRNA from 1 species
CUGGAUGUUGUGGAGUUGAAGCAUUUAAUACUUUGCAAGAAUGUCAAAAUACUUGUGAAUAAAUAACUAAUCCAUCCUGCUUUGGGAGCAGGGGGUCGCAGGUUCGAAUCCUGCCACCUCGA